CUUCAAAACCUUCGCUUUUAAGUUUUAGAGGACAAAAUUCGGUAUUUUCGUGAAGCAGAGAAACCCUCGAAACGCAAGUAAAAAAGAAAGACCUUAGAUUCCAGCGGCAUGCAACACCAUCAGAGUUCGUCCGAGGCCGACCACUCCGCACCGACUUCGCCGGUUGUGGCGGCCGCCGCUGCAGCACAUACGAUUCAACCAUCUUCCCCGCGCCUCUUUUUCUCCUCUUUGGCAGCGGGGAACACCACGGCCAGCUCUCACCGUCGGAUUGCGAUAGCCGUAGAUCUGAGCGACGAAAGCGCCUACGCCGUGAAGUGGGCUGUUCAGAACUACCUUCGACCUGGUGAUGCCGUCAUCCUGCUUCAUGUUCGCCCCACUUCGGUUCUCUAUGGCGCUGACUGGGGAUCGAUAGACCUCUCCGUUUCGGAGGCUGCUGCUGCGGCUGAAGAGGUUGACGCCGAGCAGUCGCAGCAGAAACUUGAGGAAGAUUUCGACGCCUUCACUGCCACCAAGGCACAUGACCUUGCCCAGCCGCUUGUAGAGUCUCAUAUUCCCUUCAAGAUCCACAUUGUAAAGGAUCAUGACAUGAAGGAGAGGCUCUGCCUCGAGGUAGAGAGGCUUGGACUCAGUGCUGUGAUUAUGGGUAGCAGGGGAUUUGGGGCGUCUAAGAGAAGCGGCAAAGGGAGGCUAGGUAGUGUCAGCGAUUACUGUGUUCAUCACUGUGUUUGUCCUGUGGUGGUGGUGCGGUACCCUGACGAAGCUGCAGGAGGUCUCACUGAGGAUGGGAUCGCUUCCAAUGCUGCAUCUUCUACUGCAAUUAACAAGGAGGCGGAGCUUCACCCCGUGCCAGAGGAGGAGGAAUUUCAUGAUGCCUCCGAUGCACAGAAAGAUGAACGUGGGAAAAGGGGCCGCAUGUUCCUACUAUUUUGAUCACCGUUUCAUGUAAACUUUCCUGAUUUGGAAAAGCUAAAUUGGAUUCUUGAAAGCAUGCAGCUAUGGGUUGUCGUCCUGAAUCCAGUUCAUUCAGUGCUCCCUAUAAUGCUGCCGGAUGAUACUGGACCACUUCUCCUCUUUACGAAAAAUCAAGAAAACUGUUUAGUUGUUUUCUUUCUUUAAGGUUUCCUGGAGUAUGUUUGGUCACAAGAAGGCUAUAUCCUAAGCCUUAUUAUCCUGUGAGAGAUUUAUAAUGUUGAGACAUUUGUGUCCUGCUUUUUAGGAUGCUUGUGGUUGUGGCUUCAGUUUGUAUUCUAAAGACUUAUUUGUUCUGUAUGAGUUUUAGAUAUUUUGCCAUCACAGUCGCUUCUACUCGAUUGUUUCAGUGGCAAAGAAGAGCCGUUAAGAUUUUAUAACUGUUCAUUUCAUGGUUGCAGCAUGAUGGGGAAUCUAUAUGUAUACAUUAGUUGGGUAUGAAUUUUGAUUCUCUUUUAUCUGACU